UGGGGAAUAUUGGACAAUGGGCGCAAGCCUGAUCCAGCCAUGCCGCGUGUGUGAAGAAGGCCUUAUGGUUGUAAAGCACUUUAAGCGAGGAGGAGGCUACUUUAGUUAAUACCUAGAGAUAGUGGACGUUACUCGCAGAACAAGCACCGGCUAACUCUGUGCCAGCAGCCGCGGUAAUACAGAGGGUGCAAGCGUUAAUCGGAUUUACUGGGCAUAAAGCGCGCGUAGGCGGCUAAUUAAGUCAAAUGUGAAAUCCCCGAGCUUAACUUGGGAAUUGCAUUCGAUACUGGUUAGCUAGAGUGUGGGAGAGGAUGGUAGAAUUCCAGGUGUAGCGGUGAAAUGCGUAGAGAUCUGGAGGAAUACCGAUGGCGAAGGCAGCCAUCUGGCCUAACACUGACGCUGAGGUGCGAAAGCAUGGGGAGCAAACAGG
rnacentral:rRNA from 1 species